rnacentral:rRNA from 1 species
GAUGAACGCUAGCGGCAGGCCUAAUAUAUGCAAGUCGAACGGUGUCUUCGGACAUAGUGGCGCACGGGUGCGUAACACGUAUGCAAUCUACCUUGUACAGGGGCAUAACUUCGAGAAAUCGGUGCUAAUUCCCCAUAAUAUUUAGAUGUGGCAUCACAUUUUAAUUAAAGUUCAGGCGGUACAAGAUGAGCAUGCGUCCAAUUAGCUAGUAGGUGGGGUAACGGCUCACCUAGGCGACGAUUGGUAGGGGUUCUGAGAGGAUGAUCCCCCACACUGGUACUGAGACACGGACCAGACUCCUACGGGAGGCAGCAGUGAGGAAUAUUGCGCAAUGGACGAAAGUCUGACGCAGCCAUGCCGCGUGAAGGAUUGACGGCCCUAUGGGUUGUAAACUUCUUUUGUAUAGGAAUAAACCCUCGUUCGUGAACGAGGCUGAAGGUACUAUAAGAAUAAGCACCGGCUAACUCCGUGCCAGCAGCCGCCGUAAGAC